GUAAGGUAAUAAAUUAAUGUAUUUGUCUACCUGACAUAGUAUCAUUAACCAACAGGGCAAUAAAUAAUAAACAUCAAUUUGAAGAGCGCAUUUAUCAUUGUGCGCAUGUCAGACGGAAACAGAAGUGGCAGCAAACCGUGUAACUAAUUUUUGACCAGCAAACAUCAUUCACAACACAGAGAAAUUCUUUAUUAGUGUAGUAUAAUCUUGUCCCAAUUUUUACAAAUGGCAAUUCAUGUACAUAUGUUUGUAAUUUUUAAAAGGUUUACUUUUUGACGUAGUGGCCGAAAAUGGCGAUAGUAGAAUAAAAAAAAAUGAUGGAUGCGUGAGGGUCAAGAGGUCAAAUGAAAAAACAAAACUAAUAACAAUAAUAGUCACAUUACACAUAUCACAUGGCAGGGCAGUGGUGACCAGAACAGUGGUGACCAGAACAGUGGUGACCAGAACAG